rnacentral:lncRNA from 1 species
CAGUGUUUUGUCUGGAAUGAAAGCAGUUGAGACAGCUUUUAUUGUGCAUUUUGUGUCAUGAAAUAGUAAGGAUCUUCCCGCCUCCCCCUACUCCCCAGUAAUGCUCUGAGAGACGAAAGUUUGGGGAGUUCUGAAAGAGAAGAUUUCAAAAGAAGAGGUGAGAGAAGAGCUGAAAACAGGGAGGAUGAUCUGUGAAAUCAUGACAGCAGGUCAGACCAGAAGGUCUAAGUGGUGACCUUCUCUGGGUUGGAUACGCAGAUGGCAAGGAAGAAUCCGUGAGAAUUUACCCUGCUUCCUGUUGGGAGUCUGGAGGAGACUGAAGCAGAGACUGGGAUCAGAAAAGGCUUCACCAGACACGAGGCAUAUCCAGUCUUCCAGCCCUUGGAUGGGAGCUGACAGAAAUACAUGCAUCUAGCAUGAGUUAAGAUUCCUUGGAAGAUUAUGCUCAAGGAGAACAAAGAUGGGAGCAGGAUGGGUUCUCUGAACGGGACUGAAUGAGAACUGGACCGGUUCUAUACGCUGGCUGCCUGGAGCCCCAUGCUGAGGGCUUGGGGAGUCAGGGGCAAUGUGGAGUUGAUGUCGUUUUGGCCGUGACCAUAGCCACAGCCAGACAAGCAGGGCAAAUCACACGCCUGCACAAUU